AGUGUCCAACACGCACCCAUCGAUAUUAUUGAAGAGUCCGAGCAACAUAGGUUAGAAGGGAGGGCACAUGAGGAAAAACGGUACAGACUGUGAUGACAAUUAUCUGAUGCAAUGGUGGCUCUGACCAUAUUAAAAAAGAUUUCCCUCAUAGAAACUAAAAGGGUGUACUAAAACAAAGCAAGUUCAAUAAUCAAGGGAUAAUAAGUGAAAAACUCAAACAGCA